GGCCAGACUCCUACGGGAGGCAGCAGUGAGGAAUAUUGGUCAAUGGCCGAGAGGCUGAACCAGCCAAGUCGCGUGAGGGAAGACGGCCCUACGGGUUGUAAACCUCUUUUGUCGGGGAGCAAAGCGAGUCACGUGUGACUCAUUGAGAGUACCCGAAGAAAAAGCAUCGGCUAACUCCGUGCCAGCAGCCGCGGUAAUACGGAGGAUGCGAGCGUUAUCCGGAUUUAUUGGGUUUAAAGGGUGCGCAGGCGGAGGUGCAAGUCAGCGGUCAAAUUGCGGGGCUCAACCCCGUCGUGCCGUUGAAACUGACGCCCUUGAGUGAGUGAGAAGUAAGCGGAAUGCGUGGUGUAGCGGUGAAAUGCAUAGAUAUCGCGCAGAACUCCGAUUGCGAAGGCAGCAUGCCGGCUCCACACUGACGCUGAGGCACGAAAGCGUGGGUAUCGAACAGGAUUAGAUACCCGAGUA
rnacentral:rRNA from 1 species